GAUUCCCAUCGUUAUUUCCGCUUUUUUUUUGUUUGUAUUCUCUGCGAAUUCUUAUCGUCAUCAGUGAGCUUAAUUACUUAGCCUGUAAUGAAAUCGAGAUUCGAUUUUCGAUUUUGCUCGUCAAGUGACUACUGAAACAAUCUCUGAGUCUUCAUCUUUUUGGUCCAAGUUAUAAACUUUGCUUUGCCCGCGAUUUGAUGAUUAUGUAUUUGCGAGAAAGUGAGAAUGAGAAGACAGGGAAACUUUGCGGACUCGCCUGCAAGUGGAUAUGGAUCCGGACAGAUACAGAAUGCACAUUCUGAUUUCCAAGGUCAGCUAGAGGCGUUCACGCCUGAGAGGGACCAACCACCGCAAACAGAGGGUCAAUGGAGAUGGGAAAGAGAUGGUCCCCGAAUAUGUCAAGGCCUUUGUCAACUGCUGUUUACAAUGAAAGUCAAGGCGUGGAUUCGUCAAGGACAUAUUACCGCGGCCAAAUGGAUCCAAAAUCAGGAAUGGAGACACAAAGCAGCGGUCCAAGAUCUCAACCUCAGCACCACGAGAACCCGAAGCCUGGUUAUGAGAAUAGCCGUGGGGUGGUACAGACCUUUGAAGGCAUUGAACAGAAGUUCAUGGAUGAUAUAACAAGACUAGCAAAAGAUCAAAUGGGAGCAGAGGAUGCAGAGAUUGCCAGACAUCGAGAGAAAAUAAACACCAUUAAUGCCCGGUACGAAGAACAGUUAGCUGCACUGCGAUCACGCCACGCAGGUAAAAGAGAAGAGAUCAUGAGGAAAGAAUCGCAAGCUAGGCAGCAACAAUACAAACAGCAAACACCUGGGAUGAUGGAUCAGUACCAUCCAAACGCGGCCAAUCUAAGACAACCUGGUCAUCCCCAGGGUUACAUUGGGAAUGCUCAAGAUCCAGCGGAUGCACCAUCCAGAGCCUAUGGAUCAGACCGGUUUGAAGCAUAUGGAGAGAGACCUAGGUUUCAAGGGGGAGACAGGGAUCAUGGAUUCGAGUCUAGGGGUCAGUACCCUGGUGGGACAGUCUCACGGUUCUACUGAUCUAAUAUUUAGAUUAACAAAUCGUGUUACUUUGUUUUUUUUUUUGUUUUUGGCCUAUAGAUCAUCAGUUAAGCUUUCCUGACUUUGAAAUUGAAUACAAUGGACUUGUUCUUAUAAAUAUGCGUCAUAAUUGUCUUUUAAACCUU